GUGGGGAAUCUUCCGCAAUGGACGAAAGUCUGACGGAGCAACGCCGCGUGAGUGAUGAAGGUCUUCGGAUUGUAAAGCUCUGUUAAUCGGGACGAAAGAGCCUAGUGUGAAUAAUGCUAGGAAGUGACGGUACCGGAAUAGAAAGCCACGGCUAACUACGUGCCAGCAGCCGCGGUAAUACGUAGGUGGCAAGCGUUGUCCGGAAUUAUUGGGCGUAAAGCGCGCGCAGGCGGAUCUGCCAGUCUGUCUUAAAAGUUCGGGGCUUAACCCCGUGAUGGGAUGGAAACUACAGAUCUAGAGUAUCGGAGAGGAAAGUGGAAUUCCUAGUGUAGCGGUGAAAUGCGUAGAUAUUAGGAAGAACACCAGUGGCGAAGGCGACUUUCUGGACGAAAACUGACGCUGAGGCGCGAAAGCCAGGGGAGCGAACGGGAUUAGAAACCCGGGUAGUCC
rnacentral:rRNA from 1 species